AACUAGGAUUAGAUACCCUAUUAUUUAAGAGCUUAACAUUGUAAGUAAAUAAAGAUUAUGAAAGCAAAAAAUUAUGGCGGUAUUUUAAGCUUUUCAGAGGAAUUUGCUCUUUAAUGGAUAAAACACCUAAAUCUUACUUAAAUUUGUUAAUUCAAUUUGUAUACCACUAUAAAAACAAUUUAUAACUUUAAUUGUUGGUAUUUAUUAAAUUAAAAUAUAUUAAGUCAAGGUGCAGUAAAAAUUUAAGGAUGAAGUGAAUUACAUUACUUUUUAGAGAAAUAAAUUUAAAAUAAUAUUUAGGAUUGAAAGUAAAAUUAAAAUA
rnacentral:rRNA from 1 species